AUGGCUGGAUGCGUGGCACUGGCGGCGGUCCUGCUGUGCGCGGCGGCCGCCAUGGCCGCGGCACAGUCGGCGUCCAACGUGCGCGCCACCUACAACUUCUACAACUCGGAGAAGAUCAACUGGGACCUCAACACCGCCAGCGCCUACUGCGCCACAUGGGACGCCGGCAUGUCCUUGGCCUGGCGCUCCAAGUAUGGCUGGACUGCCUUUUGCGGCGGCGCACAGAUUACGGUGAGGAUCGUCGACCAGUGCAGCAACGGCGGCCUGGACCUGGACCACGACACGGUGUUCAGCAAGAUCGACACCAAUGGGCUGGGUAUGCAGGAGGGCCACCUCACCGUCAACUACCAGUUCGUCGACUGUGGCGAGAACUAA
rnacentral:rRNA from 1 species